rnacentral:rRNA from 1 species
GACGAACGCUGGCGGCGUGCUUAACACAUGCAAGUCGAACGGAAAGGCCCUGCUUUUGUGGGGUGCUCGAGUGGCGAACGGGUGAGUAACACGUGAGUAACCUGCCCUUGACUUUGGGAUAACUUCAGGAAACUGGGGCUAAUACCGGAUAGGAGCUCCUGCUGCAUGGUGGGGGUUGGAAAGUUUCGGCGGUUGGGGAUGGACUCGCGGCUUAUCAGCUUGUUGGUGGGGUAGUGGCUUACCAAGGCUUUGACGGGUAGCCGGCCUGAGAGGGUGACCGGCCACAUUGGGACUGAGAUACGGCCCAGACUCCUACGGGAGGCAGCAGUGGGGAAUAUUGCACAAUGGGCGGAAGCCUGAUGCAGCAACGCCGCGUGCGGGAUGACGGCCUUCGGGUUGUAAACCGCUUGCGCCUGUGACGAAGCGUGAGUGACGGUAAUGGGUAAAGAAGCACCGGCUAACUACGUG